rnacentral:rRNA from 1 species
ACGAACGCUGGCGGCGUGCUUAACACAUGCAAGUCGAACGGUGAAGCGCCUUCCUUUUUGGUGGGUGUGGAUGAGUGGCGCACGGGUGAGUAACACGUGAGUAACCUGCCCCCUUCUUCUGGAUAACCGCAUGAAAGUGUGGCUAAUACGGGAUAUUCUGGGUCUGUCGCAUGAUGGGUCUGGGAAAGAUAUUGUUUCGGUGGGGGAUGGGCUCGCGGCCUAUCAGCUUGUUGGUGGGGUGAUGGCCUACCGAGGCGGUGACGGGUAGCCGGCCUGAGAGGGUGGACGGGCACACUGGGACUGAGACACGGCCCAGACUCCUACGGGGGGCAGCAGUGGGGAAUAUUGCACAAUGGGCGCAAGCCUGAUGCAGCGACGCCGCGUGAGGGAUGGAGGCCUUCGGGUUGUGAACCUCUUUCGCCAGUGAAGCAGGCCUGCCUCGUUUGUGGGUGGGUUGACGGUAGCUGGAUAAGAAGCGCCGGCUAACUACGUG